AAUAAUGAUUUAACAAUUCACAGGCAUACUCAAAGCUAGGAAGUACAAAGCAUUAUGAUUUUUAACUAUAUAAAAUCUUGUUUGAGGCUGGAGCUAAGGUUUUUUUUUCACUUUGAAGAUCUUCAAAGGGACCUCAAAAAACGUGUCCCAACAUGCAGACGGUGUUUCACGUGUCUAGUUCACGUGUCUAGCUAUCCAUCACAUUCUAUGACCUGCAGUGUUGGAAAAAAUACUAAUUUACUUAGGUAAAAGUAUGUAAGUAUUACCAUUACUAUUAUUACCAAGUUAAAGCUAAAGUACAACAUUAGCAGAAAAUCGGGGUGUGACUGAUAUAUAUGAAACACAUUUAAGUGCAUCAUUGAAUACUUAUGAGUCGGUGCAUAAGCAGCCGAUUUUCUGGAAAGUAGUACUUUUUCCAAUACUGCAGGUCACACAAUCUGAUGGGUCACCAAAAAUGGUGUAACACUGUCGACUUUUUACCGUUCUUGCUUGAAUGUUUAUUUACUUGGUUAAAUUUCAUUGCAUGUCUCAGUCAAAAUGCUGGUCCAGGUGAAGUACAGCCAACAGCAGAAGUAUGUAAAGUUGGAUGAGGAUGAAGGACUGUCUCACUUUCUGCAAUUCCAUGAAAAACAUGGAAUUGCAAAAAAGGUUUUAAACCACAUCCAUGUUCUUUUUAAAGCUCUUUACAUGCCUUUAUCAGACUCUUAUACUGUAAAUGGGUGUACAUUGCUAAACAUUUUCAGUUCUGCAAUGUGUGCUUCAUAAAGUAUAUAUAAUAAUAUACACCAAAACAGUCAAUAAAAAAAAGGCAAUCAUCAAUUUUUAAAUUUGGACUUGGAAUGGGUUUUGUGAGGGACAAAUGCUCUAUGUCUAUUUAAUGAUUAUACAUUGUUGGAUGUAUGUAUUUAACAUGAACAGUUAUUGGCUGUGAGGCAAGAAACAGUGCGGACUUCAAAAGCACAUUCAGUUUGACCUUAUCUAUUCCAGUCAUGGAGAGAUUUGGCCUGCCACCUGAUGCAAAUGUUAUAUACAAGGAUGCAACAGGGACAGAAGUUGAUGCAGAAAUAUUCAGCGACCUCGUUGGACAAGGCAAUGUGGUCCUGACAGUUUUCUCAGAUCAGGGUGAGAUAUCAAGGCAGGUAUUAUAAAGCACUCUACACCUUAGUAUAUCAUUUAAUAAUUGAAAUGUUAUUUAUCUAUUGCUUUAGAAUUCUCUGAUUUCUCCUUGUCUUCUGAGACGUCUGACUCAAGCUUCAGCUCAAGUGCAUCAACUAUAAUCCUAGAUGUUCCUAACAAGAGACAAAGAAUUGAGGAUACACGUGAUGCUGUGUCUGCUAAACAGAAGCUGUGCUCAGAGGCAAGUCUGGAGGUGAAGAUGUACUACAGGAGUACCAAACAACAGAAACCCUAACAGAUGCUGCAAGAAGACAAAUGGUUAAUAUCCUGGUGGCUCACAUGAUUGACAAUCAUGGGUAUGUUUGUUUCACAUUGUUUUUAUUUGUGCCAAAUAAAUGCAUGACCAUUGCAUAAAUGUACAAAUUUACUAAUUUAAUAUCUCCUCUCAGGCACUGCCCCACUAAAACAAUCAGAGAAGAUUAUGCACGUGGGAUAGUGAUGCUGUUCCCUUCCCUUAAGGAUCCAUACUCCAAGAAGGGCUAUGAACACUUCUAUGAUGCUGCAAGCAGCACAGGAUACAUUUCUUGGCGUCUGAAAACAGUCCAGAGAAAGAUUCGUCAAGGAUCUGCACAGCCACCAAAUGGCCCAAUUGACUUUUCUCCAGGAGGCCCAAAUUGCCAAAGGACUGUUAAUGUUGAACGGCAGCUUGAUGAUGAUGCUUGCCAAGAGGCCAUGUCUUUGCUUAACCAUACAGCAGACAAUUUCCUGAUUUUCCAGAAGAUGAGAGAGACCUUUCAGCAUCGUCAGAAGCUUGUUAAUGACCCAGGCAGAAGUGUUGAUAUACUCUCCAGCUUCCCAAGAUUCCUGGAUACAAAAGGAUUGGUGGACCAAGACUUCCCUCUCCUAUUUGACGAAGACACAUCCUCCAGACUUCUUCAGAAAUGGGAUUUGUUCUUCAAGCCAAAUGUCAUUAAAGAGGCUAAGCGGCUCCUUUCACCACCUCCAGGGGGACUGAAGUCUCCAAAAAUUAGUGCAUGUGAUGCAGUUGAAAGUAUUUUAUAAGUCAUGCUGCAGUUUGGAGGAGCAUCUCCGCAACCAGCAGGGUCGGCAGCCGUACCUCCUCGCUGUUGGGCGUCAGAGGAGCAAGAUUGACAGCUUCUACAUCACCAUAGAUCUCUCGUCUCAUCCCAUGCAAGGCAAACCGCUCCCUCGGGGCAUGUGAUGAACUUUUCAAAGCACAUUUUGUGUUUAAUUUGUCUUACGAUGUGGCACGUGUGAAUUUUUAUACAUUCCUGCAGACAACAGUGUAUAACAUUGAUGUGGGGAAAAUUAAGGAGUCACCCAGAGUUAAAGACUUGAGAGCAAGACUGCUUAACCAGCCAGUAGCAUUCUCACCCUGUGAGUAAGAAGCUAUAACAAUGCUGACCUGUUUCAUGUGUUGACAAAUUAGCUAUUUACAGAGAAUUUUUAUGACCAUCAUCAUGCAUUCAGAGUAUUACGAAGUGCGGAAAGAUGUUUACUAAAAAUGUCUGGGCUUAAAUUUCAUAAACCGUUUCAUAGUCAAAGCUCAUACAAUGUUUUGGAUGAAAGUUUGUACAUUAUACCUUCAUUCACAAUGUUUUAAUUCAACUGACUGCAAGGGAGAAAAGGAAUACAUGUUUUUGAAAAUGUUUUUGUUUAUUGUGAUGAAUUCUUAUUAAUAUAAGUAUAUAUAUUUAAUUAAUACAUUUAAAAUUAAUUAACAUUUUUUCAGUGUAGAUAAUUGACAUUAGGGAGUGUAAUUAACACUACCAAAAUAGUUAAAAAAAUUAACUCGGAGCAGUGUUAGUUGUCUAAUCCCUCAGUGUUACUUUACACUGUUUUGUGAGUUAAUAAAGGAACUCUGGUAGAGUGUUAAAUGUUUAACUAUUUUGAAAGUGUUAAUUUAACUCUGGAGAGUGUGGAGCUAAAUAAACUCUCAAAAAGUGUUGAAAUCAACUCUGUGGGAGUUAACUCAACACUGGACACUUUGCUGAUAUAUAUAUAUGUAUGUACAUAUAUAUAUAUAUAUAUAUAUAUAUAUAUAUAUAUAUAUAUAUAUAUAUAUAUAUAUAUACAUAUAUAUAGGUGAUAUAUAGGUGAUGCUCUGUGUUCAUGGAUGGAGAUGGCAUCGUUCUCUCCAUGUGCCACAUCCCAAUACAAACAGCAGGGUUGUUGCCAUUGUGACGACCUGCUUACCUUUAAAGCAUGUGACACCCUCCGUCCUUAGACCCUCGUUCAUGUGAGGAAGGAACCUAUAGAAGGACUAUAGAACAGCUUUAUCCUCUAGCAGAAGGCACCAGAUAAUAGGCGGGUAAACACACGUUUUCAUCUCAGUGUGGUGAUCUAUGAAAAGUAAUUGAAUGACAUGUUACAGGACUGUUGCAGGUGCAGACCCCACAAUGAGAUGAAGCCUUUUUAAAGUCAGACUUUAUGCAUGAAGGGUUGUUUAUACUUGGUCCUGUAAAACGAUCUGAAUAUGUCUAAUGUUGACUGCUGUGAUAUGAUGGCAUCGCCUGGUUCUAUCUAACACAGAGCCCGAGUUGGCUUUGGUACGUCAGGUCAGGUGAUCUUCCUAUCGGAGACCAAUAAAGAUGAUGUCAUCACCAAGUAGCCCUGUGAGUUCUCCUGAAGAAGCUGCUGGUGGAGUUUCGCCGUGUCAGUAUGAGCACAUGAGAUUCCUAGGUGCUUUAGCAACGGCUACUUAAGCCUACAGAUGAUUUGUGUUUGUCGCUGUCUCCUUUUAUCUUUCCAUAUGUGUGAUUUAAUGUCAAAAUGUCUGUAAAUUGUAUGGAAUCAGUAACCAAUCACAACAUGGAAUGUGGGAUUGACUUCAGUUAAAGAGUAUCAAAAAAUAGCUUUCAUACAUCACAUUUUUCUUGUCUUUUUGCCAAAAAGAAGUAAACAUUAAAUGGAACAUCGCUGUCAAAUAAAAGCAGCACUACAUCGGCUCUAGAGCUUGAAGGAAGGACGGUAAAAGUUUGGAUUUGUUGUAAUCUGUAACCUCACCGAUGGAAUAGCGAGAUCCUACAUUGGAACUACCAAACCACUCGCUGACCCUUUUUCAAAUGAGACUAUAUGGUGUAUGUGUGGUUGGUUAAUGAGGAGUAGCAGUAACCAAACAGAAC
ensembl:lncRNA